UACGUAGGGUGCAAGCGUUGUCCGGAAUUAUUGGGCGUAAAGAGCGUGUAGGCGGCCUUUUAAGUCCUGCGUGAAAUCCUGCGGCUCAACCGCAGACGGUCGUGGGAAACUGGAAGGCUAGAGUGCGGGAGAGGAGAGUGGAAUUCCCGGUGUAGCGGUGAAAUGCGCAGAUAUCGGGAAGAACACCCGUGGCGAAGGCGGCUCUCUGGAACGCAACUGACGCUGAGACGCGAAAGCGUGGGGAGCAAACAGG
rnacentral:rRNA from 1 species